rnacentral:rRNA from 1 species
GAUGAACGCUGGCGGCGUGCCUAAUACAUGCAAGUCGAGCGAACAGACGAUGAGCUUUCUCCGCUGACGGUAGCGGCGGACGGGUGAUUAACACAUGGAUAACCUACCUGUAAGACUCAGAUAAAUUCGGGAAACCAGAGCUAAUACCGGAUAAUAUAUUGAACUUCAUGGUUCAAUAAUGAAAGACGGUUUUACUGUCACUUAGGUAUGGAUCCGCGCCGCAUUAGCUAGGUGGUAAGGUAGCGGCAUACGAAUGCUACGAUGCGUAGGCGACAUGAGAGGGAGAAUGGCUAGCCUGGAUCAGAGAAUCAGCCGACAAUCCUGAGGUAGGACGCAGUAGAGAAUCCUCCGCGAUGGGCGAAAGCCUGACGGAGCAACGCCGCGUGAGUCAUGAAGGUCUUCGGCCCGUAACACUAUGUAAUUCGUGAAGAACUAAUGUGUAAGUAACUAUGAAGGUUUUGACGGUAACUAAUCAAAAAGCGACGGCUAACUACGUG